UACGUAGGCAGCGAGCGUUGUUCGGAAUUACUGGGCGUAAAGAGUGUGUAGGCGGUGCUCCCAGUCUGGUGUGAAAUCUCCCGGCUUAACUGGGAGGGUGCAGCGGAAACUAGAGUGCUAGAGGGUGGGAGAGGUAAGCGGAAUUCCUGGUGUAGCGGUGAAAUGCGCAGAUAUCAGGAGGAACACCGGUGGCGAAGGCGGGUCUCUGGGCCGUAACUGACGCUGAGGAGCGAAAGCGUGGGGAGCGAACAGG
rnacentral:rRNA from 1 species